AGUGAACGCUGGCGGUAGGCCUAACACAUGCAAGUCGAACGGCAGCACAGUAAGAGCUUGCUCUUACGGGUGGCGAGUGGCGGACGGGUGAGGAAUACAUCGGAAUCUACUUUUUCGUGGGGGAUAACGUAGGGAAACUUACGCUAAUACCGCAUACGACCUACGGGUGAAAGCAGGGGAUCUUCGGACCUUGCGCGACUGAAUGAGCCGAUGUCGGAUUAGCUAGUUGGCGGGGUAAAGGCCCACCAAGGCGACGAUCCGUAGCUGGUCUGAGAGGAUGAUCAGCCACACUGGAAGUGAGACACGGUCCAGACUCCUACGGGAGGCAGCAGUGGGGAAUAUUGGACAAUGGGCGCAAGCCUGAUCCAGCCAUACCGCGUGGGUGAAGAAGGCCUUCGGGUUGUAAAGCCCUUUUGUUGGGAAAGAAAAGCAGCAGGUUAAUACCCCGCUGUUCUGACGGUACCCAAAGAAUAAGCACCGGCUAACUUCGUG
rnacentral:rRNA from 1 species